CUUUUCUUGUCAUCUGCGGAAAAGCGUAACUCUCAAGUGCGUGCGAGCGUGCGUGCGUGCGUGUGCUCUUCCGCUGUUUCACCAAAAAGAAUCUGCGAAAACACACACACACACUUCUUCAUUUCGAAUCUUCCUCGAAGCAAAUCUCUCAAUCAUCUCAGUUUUGAGAGAUGGCAGAUCGUUUGACACGUAUUGCGAUUGUGAGUUCGGACCGCUGCAAGCCUAAGAAAUGUCGCCAAGAGUGCAAGAAGAGCUGUCCUGUCGUCAAGACUGGAAAACUCUGUAUUGAGGUGACUGUUGGUUCCAAGCUUGCUUUUAUCUCUGAGGAGUUGUGCAUCGGUUGCGGUAUUUGUGUCAAGAAAUGCCCAUUUGAAGCUAUUCAGAUCAUCAAUCUUCCCAGAGACUUGGAGAAAGAUACAACCCAUCGCUAUGGUGCCAACACUUUCAAGUUGCACAGGCUCCCAGUUCCAAGGCCAGGCCAAGUCCUAGGGUUGGUUGGCACAAAUGGUAUUGGAAAAUCAACCGCUCUGAAAAUUUUGGCUGGGAAGCUCAAACCAAAUCUUGGCCGUUUCACUAAUCCUCCAGACUGGCAAGAAAUCUUGACUCACUUCCGUGGCUCAGAACUUCAAAACUACUUCACCCGUAUUUUAGAAGAUAAUCUAAAGGCCAUUAUAAAGCCUCAGUAUGUCGAUCACAUCCCAAAAGCUGUUCGAGGCAAUGUUGGAGAGGUCCUUGACCAGAAGGACGAGAGAGACAAGAAGGCUGAGCUCUGUGCUGAUCUGGAACUGAACCAGGUCAUUGAUCGUGCUGUUGAGAAUUUGUCUGGUGGCGAGCUGCAGAGGUUUGCCAUCGCUGUUGUUGCUAUACAAAACGCUGAGAUAUACAUGUUUGAUGAGCCGUCUAGUUACCUUGAUGUCAAGCAAAGACUCAAAGCUGCUCAAGUUGUUCGUUCUCUCCUGAGGCCUAAUAGCUACGUCAUUGUGGUGGAGCAUGAUCUCAGUGUUCUUGACUACUUGUCGGAUUUCAUUUGCUGUCUGUAUGGGAAACCAGGAGCCUAUGGGGUCGUGACUCUACCUUUCUCUGUCAGAGAAGGGAUCAACAUUUUCUUGGCUGGGUUUGUCCCCACAGAAAAUUUGCGUUUUAGAGAUGAAUCGCUUACCUUCAAGGUUGCUGAGACUCCACAAGAAAGUGCUGAAGAAAUACAGUCGUACGCGAGGUACAAAUACCCUACGAUGACCAAAACUCAAGGAAACUUCAGGUUGAAAGUGACGGAAGGUGAAUUCACCGACUCUCAGAUUAUUGUAAUGCUUGGGGAGAAUGGUACAGGGAAGACAACGUUUAUCCGAAUGCUGGCGGGUUUGUUGAAACCUGACGAAACAGAAGAAUCAGACAUAGAGAUACCAGAGUUCAAUGUUUCCUACAAGCCACAAAAGAUCAGCCCCAAGUUUCAGAAUUCAGUUAGACACUUGCUACACCAAAAGAUUCGGGACUCUUACAUGCAUCCUCAGUUUGUGUCCGACGUGAUGAAACCGCUUCAGAUUGAGCAGUUGAUGGAUCAAGAAGUUGUCAAUCUCUCUGGUGGAGAGUUGCAAAGGGUUGCAUUAGCUCUGUGCCUCGGAAAGCCUGCGGAUAUCUACCUGAUCGAUGAGCCGAGUGCGUAUCUCGAUUCAGAGCAACGUAUUGUGGCGUCUAAAGUCAUUAAGCGGUUCAUUCUCCACGCUAAGAAAACUGCAUUUAUAGUGGAGCAUGACUUUAUAAUGGCAACAUAUCUGGCAGACCGAGUCAUUGUCUAUGAAGGACAACCAUCCAUUGACUGUAUUGCAAACUGUCCUCAGUCACUGCUCAGUGGAAUGAAUCUCUUUCUAUCUCAUCUGAACAUCACGUUCAGAAGAGAUCCCACUAAUUUCAGACCAAGGAUCAACAAAUUAGAGUCGACUAAAGACAGGGAGCAAAAGUCUGCUGGCUCGUACUAUUACUUGGAUGAUUAAGACGUCUAUCAUGAGGUUUCUUCAUCUCUAAAAUCCAAUCUUUGUAUUAACAAUCACACAGGCAUUUUAUGGAGAGCCAAUAUCUGAAAUGUUUGUUUGUUGGCUCGUUGAUUUCCUUUAUGGAUUCACAGAACAUAAGGCAUGGUCUGGAUAAAAACAGAGUCUGAGUUCCAUGAAGGUCUUUUGCUUUGAGGAAGUUGAUCUAUGAGCUGGGGAUGCUCUUUGUUCCUUAGAUGUUUCUCUUCUCAAGCCUUUGAUUGUUUGUUCUCAUCAGUUUCGCUUCUCAGUGUUUCAGAGGUGAACAGAAAGAAAGUUUCUUCUCACGUUCAUGGAGGUCUAGAAGACGACAAGAGAGAGAAGAGACAAAGAAGGGAAAGGAUUUUCUGUUAUUGAUUAAUGUGUGCAUCGCUCACACUAUAUACACUUAGUACAAUAUGAACCGGAACAAACCGGCUGAGAUAAUAAUGAAAUGUACAAUUGAAUCAAACCGUAUCUAAUCAGACCAAACCGAAUCUAACUCUAA